GCGCGCCGGCUGUCCGCGGGCCGCCCUCGGUGCAGCCGUCCUGGGUCCCGACGCGGGCGGUGGGGUCCUCGCGCCCGCGCGGCCUCUGACCGGAGCUGCCGGGUCGCACGGCCGCGCCGGGUCCGCCCUGGGCAGGCUGAGGUGUGCCGGGCGGCGCGGCGUCCUGACGGGCGGGGCGGCCCGGAGCUGCCGAGCCGGGUGGACAGGUGGGCGUGGACAGCGCGACCGGCGGAGCUGGCCCGCCAUCCUGCCGCGGCCCUGACCCCCGGGGUGCGCUGGCUGCUGGGGUCAAAUCCGAGCUGACCUUUCUCCGGGGGAAAGAUAAAUUAUUAUGGUUGUGUGUGAGCGUCAGUGCAAAUGUUUUCCGAGUCCUCCUCCGGCUCCGGGUGCUGUUUGAAUCCCCCGCAUUCCUCAGCCCUGGGCAGGGAGCGGCCGCGGCCUUUGUGUCUCCGGGGAGCGCACGCCACCUCGGAAGCGACAGCGAACCAGAGUUAAAGAACAGGAGAGACAUUAGCGUUACCCUUCCGCUCAGAUGAGCCUGUCUCCACUCCAACACUGACCAUGCAUGUUGUAAGAGGAACAACACUGGCCAACAGCCACAAUUCUCAGGCAUAUGUUUACUCCUGCACUUCUCCAGCUUCAUGCCUCCACAGUCAUCGGGUGAAAUGCUGACCUCCUCUGUUGUUCACAGCUUCAACUUUGCACUGCUGAGCUCAGAGAACUUCACUUUCCACCCUGUAAAAUACGCAGAGCCACAUGACUUGUUCUGGUCAAUGAGCCAUGAAGAACCAGUGUGUCACUUCUGGUGUCCUGCCCUUUCUAACCUUGCCACAGUGACUGGAAAAAGAGGCAAGAAGGAUUGGAGAUGUCACAACGCCCGGGAAUGAGGGCUCUGCCACAGCCAAAGUACAAUGGCUCUGGAGGGCCAAUGAGUCCCUACGGUGAUAUUUACAGAAAAUGAUUUUGUGUUUGUAAUAAGCCCAGAAAGAGAUUUGGGGUUCCUUCUUGAAGAUAAUGUGGCCCAUCUAGACCCAAAGAUCUCCAUAGACCCAGCGGAAGUGCCCUCUGCCACUCAGGAGCUCCCACCAGCCCCUCCUACAGAAACCCAGAGCUUUUUGUCUCUCUUUUUUUUUUUUUAGAAAUUGUAUCUCGGUGCAACCUCUCAGACAGAGAAGCAUUAAUGCCUUCUUGUGUUUCUCUGCAUGUUCCGUCAAUAGUCAAAGAAGCAUGGAAACUUGACAGGACAAUUGGUCUUAGACAUUAAUUUUGCUCACCCUGUGUAAGUUGCAAACAUCAUUGUAUCCUGCAACUACAACUGCAUUGAUCCUAGCAAUAGCCAUUGUAUUCUGUUUCUAAUAAAGGUUUAAAAAAUCUCAAAAAAAAAAAAAAAAAAAGAAAAGAAAUUGUAUCUCGGAAUGAUGGAACCAAUAUGGCCUUUGAGUCAUACAAUCCUCAGUUCAUCUAUCUGCCACUGGCUAUUCAGUGCCCAGCUGUCUUUCUGAAAGUCGGUUCUCUUACCUGAAUAAUUGAUUUUACCUUAGUAAAAUCAGUGUGCAGUACUCACUGUUAUUUAAGUUUUCAACACUGAUGUGUUUUCUCUCCUUGGUAUUAAAAAAAAAGUA